rnacentral:rRNA from 1 species
UACGUAGGUGGCAAGCGUUUGUCCGGAUUUACUGGGCGUAAAGAGCGCGCAGGCGGUCGUUCAAGUCGAGUGUGAAAGCCCCCCGGCUCAACUGGGGAGGGUCACUCGAUACUGAUCGACUCGAAGGCAGAAGAGGGAAGCGGAAUUCCCGGUGUAGUGGUGAAAUGCGUAGAUAUCGGGAGGAACACCAGUGGCGAAGGC